UGCAUCGGCCGGGAAUCGAACCCGCGUGGCAGGAGAGCAUUUUACCACUGAACCACCGAUGG
rnacentral:tRNA from 1 species